UUCUCUCACUCUCUCACUCUCACUCUCCCCGAUCCCCUUCUUCACCUCAUGGCCGCCGGCCAAUUCCAGCCGCCGCCGGCGGCCACCGUCGCUUUCCAGCACCCCUCGUGCACAUCUCAGCCCACACCACCUCCUCCACCAAGCUGAUUCAACACGUCUGUCUCCCACGCCUCCGCUUGGUCUCCCCGGCGUCGUCUAUGCACUGCCCGGAGCGGCCCCACAUCCUGGCUGCCGGGGCUGCGGUCGUCGACCUUGGCGGCGCACUGUCGCCAUGGCCGUGCCCUAUUGCGGUGUGUGGUAAAGUCGCUGCGCAAGAAGCAGGACCGCAUCGCGUAGAUGGAGGAGGCGGUCGCCGCCGGCAAGACGCUCAACCAGGAGCAGAAGAAGGCUAUGCGCUCGAAGCCCACCCUCGCCGCCAUCAUCCACGAGCUCGAGCGCCUCUACGUGCGCCGCUCGCCCUGCUUCCGCAGCGGGCGUCUCCCACCACGACGCGCUCCAGGCCUGCGCCCACCAUGCCCGCGUAUGGCCCGCCCGUGCCGAUGAGCCGAGCCACCCUGGCUCCUCUGUUACAUAUGCUGCGGUGAGGGGUAAGUUGACAGGAUCAUGGCAUCGGACUAGUACACAGCAGCUGCAGACGGAGGGAGCUAUGGAGCUGAAGGUGUGCAGGCAGAGGAGAGUAUGACUGCCUCACCAGAGGCACCAUCAGUGGAGGACAACCUAGCCGCUGAAGGUCACAAUGUGGAAUCGCAAAUUGCAAUUUUUUGCAAUUUCAUAUAUGCUCAGCAUAUUGCAGUGAACAUUGCCCUGAAACUGUCUUUUGACUGAUCCGCUGUAGUGCACAAUGCUCCUAUUAUUAUUAUUAUUAUUAUUAU